rnacentral:rRNA from 1 species
GACGUAGGAGGCGAGCGUUGUCCGGAUUCAUUGGGCGUAAAGGGUGCGUAGGCGGCGCGGUAAGUCGGGUGUGAAAUCUCGGAGCUUAACUCCGAAACUGCAUUCGAUACUGCCGUGCUUGAGGACUGGAGAGGAGACUGGAAUUUACGGUGUAGCGGUGAAAUGCGUAGAUAUCGUAAGGAAGACCAGUGGCGAAGGCGGGUCUCUGGACAGUUCCUGACGCUGAGGCACGAAGGCCAGGGGAGCAAACGGG